UACGUAGGGUGCGAGCGUUAAUCGGAAUUACUGGGCGUAAAGCGUGCGCAGGCGGUUAUGCAAGACAGAUGUGAAAUCCCCGGGCUUAACCUGGGAACCGCAUUUGUGACUGCAUAGCUGGAGUACGGCAGAGGGGGAUGGAAUUCCGCGUGUAGCAGUGAAAUGCGUAGAUAUGCGGAGGAACACCGAUGGCGAAGGCAAUCCCCUGGGCCUGCACUGACGCUCAUGCACGAAAGCGUGGGGAGCAAACAGG
rnacentral:rRNA from 1 species